rnacentral:lncRNA from 1 species
UGCUAUGUGUCUGACUUUUGCGUGCAAAUUCUUCGUUUGUUCAUCAUCAAUAUGGUCAAGAAGUUCAUGCAGAGAAUCAACCUUCUCGUAGAGUAAAUUCAAACUUUCCACAUGAGUGUCCAAUUGAUCUAAGUUUGAUAGCAAAAGCUGAAGCUGUUCUAUUGUUCCCAUUAGUGAAGUCAAUGCAACAUAUGCAGCCAUCUCUCUGUACUUCUGCAGUAAAGGAAUGAAUUAUUGGACUAUGUUUUAUCAAUUGACAUGUUUCACAUAGUCUCAGAGAAGUCAAUGCAACGUAUGCAGCCAUCUCUCUCUGUACUUCUGCAGUAAAGGACCUUCAGAUUAGUGAAUGAAUCAAUUUGGACUAGGGAGACACUUAAAAUGACAGAUAUGGCAAACACUAACAUUGAAUUAUUGUAUCGCAUGCAAUAAAAAUUGACAUUAUUUUGAGAAUUGACGUG